rnacentral:misc_RNA from 1 species
UAACCAAGUACAAAUAAAGUAAAUUAAAAACAAAAUAACCAUAAAGAAGUAGAACUACUUUCAUUGCCGUCAACUGUAUUUUUGUCCUUUCCCUUCGGUUAUACAGCAAUUCAAAAAUUCUUGAGAACAUAAGAUCUGUGAAGUUGUUGAAGAAAGAGAAAAAGCCAAUUAAGCAGUCAGAAACUCCUUAUGAAUCCCCAUAUGACUGACUUAAAACACUUUGCUCUGUGUUAGUUGCUUCAUCUGAAGAAUUGAAUUGACGAGUUAGCUGCGGAAGAUAAUGUUAUGAUCCAGAAACAGGCAAUAGAGGAGCAUAACUAAUCACUCAGUCGGUAUGAUCUCCCUCUGAAAGCUACACCAGUAGUUCUUUCAGGUUGCACUCGAUUGUUUGUUGGGGCAGGAGCACCUAUUCUCCACCUUGCGACCAGUUUAUGCCUACAGCAGUUGAGGAAAUUGGAGGAACAAGAAAAUAAAAUGAAAUAUAUCAUAGUCAAGUAUCAAUCAAAGAAUUAAACUAUUGGUUAAUGAUAAUGCCCUGGGAAGAUCUCAUCAUAGCCCUAGUUUUAACCUUUGAACGAUUACUGCUGCAAAUAUGCCAAUGCCAUUAUGUGCUCAGGAAGAGAACUGCACAUUUUAGACAAGGUUAUGUUUCUCUGUGGAUGAAUGAGAAUGCUUAAUCAGAACUCAACACAUAAACUCAAAACUGAGCAGGAAAGCUUAUCAAGAGUGGGACAUGAUAGAAGAUAUCUGUAAUGAUGACUGCACAUUGAACACAUGCAAAUUUCUAUUGCAAACAGCUAAUAUACUUCUCCCAAGAGAGGAACCAAGUAAUGAAAGGAUACACCCAUCUUGGAGUAUUCAAUAAGGUCUUUCCAGUUGCAAGUGGAUGCAACACAGUCAAAAAGUAAUACAGAUGCCCUGCAAUGAUCCCCAGCAGAUCUGGCAUAAGCGGGGAACCAAAAAUGACAUCUAAAGCGAGCAUUGCCCAUGGUAGAUAAAAUGCCUGAUAACACAAGCAGGAGAGCCAAGAAGGGGGUAGAUAAGCCACAUGUUAGAUAUGAAAUUCCUAACCCAAAAUCUCUUGCAAAGCAAAUGAAAUCACCCCACAAAAAUUUGCAACUGAAUACAUCUUGAGCAUACCUUAAGAGUCAUAAGGCCAUAUAUGUUGAUCUGGGCAUUUGGGAAUUCUCUACCCCAGACAUAGACAAGCAUGAACACAAGUGAUAUCCCCAAGAAAGGGGUCCAAAAUAUAGGGAUGGCAGCUAGUACCUAAAAUCCAGAAGGGAGAAUACCACCAAUCAGAUGAAAAGAUGGUUUUCACGCAUUCAAACAACAAAAGUACAUUUAAAAACUGCAUCUUCAUAUGGGGAGGAAUUAUCUAGGCUACCGCUCACAGUGGUCCAAAAAGUUUCAAAAUGUGAAUUUGCACCAUGAAAGAAAAUCCAAAGCAGGGAAGGAGGGAAAAGGAACAGUAAGACAAGAUCAAUUCAUUCUUCAGCUUACUUGAGGUUAGGCCCACCCCAAUUUAAGUUUACAAUGCAACAAUUGAAAAAAACACUUUCAUCCGCCAGAAAAGAAUCUGAAUGAAUAAAGAACAUAACUACAUACUAGCAUCGAAAAGGCUCCAAAGAUCAUCAUCCACAAGAAAUCUGCUGUACGCCUAUCAAAAGGUCCUUUCUCAAGUUGAACACCAUAUCUUGCUAUCAUUAAAAGGCGAAUUCCAAAGUUGAUAGAAAAUUUUCCAAGGAAAAAGAAGUUUGUAAUAAGCCUCCACACCUGAAAGCGUGAGAAUACAAGUUUAUAUAUCAAUGCUAUAUGCACCACAUCAAAUACUCCAAGCUGAUAGGCUGCAGUGAAAAGCAGGCACAAAGUCCCAUAUGCCUUGCUUACAGGUGGAAGAGAGUGAUAGUAUCUGAACAAAAUGGACAGCAAAAGUUGUAACGAUCAUGAAUCAAAAAAAUAUAUGGUUUUUACACAUAUAGAACACCUAAAAAAUAGGAAUAACCAGUUUAAAGAUGCUUUAGCAUUAGUACUGUUGCUACUAUUAUCCAGCAAACAAGAAUUAAAGAUUAAAAGAACAAAAUAAGACACCAUUUAGAAAACACCUCAAUGUCGUUCACAAUUUGAAGUCACAUUACCAUAUGCAUUCAGAAUGUCAUCGGAAGGUUUCACCAUGAGUUGUUCUGCAACGACAUUUCAUUCCAUCUUUUGCUUUUUCUUUCCUUUCCCAUAAAUUAAAGGUUAUUAACGGAUACCCAUACAAAAUUAUCAUUUUCCCAAUCCAUUGUUGUACUGCUUUGCAUUUGAUUCAAUCUAAAGGAAGAUCACGAAGAAGCAAGUAACCUCAAACAUCUGAAGCCAAUUUGCGUAAUUGCUUGAAUCACUUAAGCAACUAGUUCUGAUACCGAUAAUCUUGCUUCUAUGCCAGAAGUCCAAAUUUGCCUUAUAUUGGUAAAACAAAACUGAAAAAACUUGGCUAGGAUUAAGUUCACCAGAAUCCCAAACAGUGCGAACACAAACACAAAGCAACAGAAUAAAUUGAAUCACUUUAAAAAGGAAAUAAGAAGAACGUUAAAAUUAAGAAACGAAGGAAAAUCAGCAAAUCUAAAUUCAGUAGAAAAACGAAGGAAAAGUUUAAAAGAAUAAUAUAUAUGGAAAAGGUUACUUACUCAGCAGGUGAAGACAUUGUAGACUCGGAAAGCUAAAUUGAGAUGGAGAAAAUCUCAGUGGGCAAAUGUCUCUUCAAUUUGGACUUUAAAUUUCGAAAACGAUAGUUGUGAUUUGUGAAAAUUCAAAGCCGUUUUUACUCCAAUAUUGUGAAAACUAUGAAGCGAUUGCUAAGAUCCAGAAGUUUCCUCCUCCUAAACCCAUUCCUACCUUCCUUUCGCACUUGGUCUCUCUCCACCUCUCCAACUGCU